rnacentral:rRNA from 1 species
CAGCAGCCGCGGUAAUACGUAGGGUGCGAGCGUUAAUCGGAAUUACUGGGCGUAAAGCGUGCGCAGGCGGUUGUGUAAGACAGGUGUGAAAUCCCCGGGCUUAACCUGAGAACUGCGCUUGUGACUGCACAGCUAGAGUAUGGCAGAGGGGGAUGGAAUUCCACGUGUAGCAGUGAAAUGCGUAGAGAUGUGGAGGAACACCGAUGGCGAAGGCAGCCCCCUGGGCCAAUACUGACGCUCAUGCACGAAAGCGUGGGGAGCAAACAGGAUUAGAUACCCCUGUAGUCCCUGUCUCUUAUAC